rnacentral:lncRNA from 1 species
AGCCCUUACCACUCUUCUGCCUUGGAGCCAAUACACAGUAUUGACUCCAAGACAGAAGGUAAGGGUUUAUACACACACACACAUAUAUAUAUACAUAUAUAUAUAUACACACCCAACUAUGUAUCUAUCCUUCCAUAUUUCUGUGUAUAUGUCAUUUCUAUUCAUUCAUCUAUGUCUGUUUCUGUAAAUUUGUUUUUCAAUAAUCUAUCCAUCUAUGUAUCUAUUAAUUUUUCUUUAUUUCUCUUUUUUCUACUAAUCUUUCUCUCCGAUUGACUCUUUCUAACUUUCAGACUGUUAGUUUGUUAAUGUACAUAUGUAUCUAUCUGUUCAUCGAACCAUCUAUUUAUCCAUUCAUAUCUUUGUGUAUCUAUCAAUCUAUGUACUUGUGUAUCUAUCUGUCUUUGUAAAUCUGUCUAUUUAUUUAUGCAUCUAUAUAUCUAUUUAUCCAUGUAUCUGUUUGUCUCUAUUUCUCCAUACAUGUAUCUAUCCAUCUCUCUAUCUCUCUCUCUCUCUAUCUCUAAUUCCUUUCUUCCUCCUGUUGUAAUUAAACUCCAUAAAAGAUUGACUGCUGACUUGAGUUUUCAUUUAGGAAUUACAUAGCUGAAUUCCUUGGAGACCUUAAAUUAAUAUAUAUCAGUCUUUUAAAGUGAUUUCCUUGUCA